UACAGAGGGGGCAAGCGUUGUUCGGAAUUACUGGGCGUAAAGGGCGCGUAGGCGGCCUUCUAAGUCGAACGUGAAAUCCCUAGGCUCAACCUAGGAACUGCGUCCGAUACUGGGAGGCUUGAAUCCGGGAGAGGGAUGCGGAAUUCCAGGUGUAGCGGUGAAAUGCGUAGAUAUCUGGAGGAACACCGGUGGCGAAGGCGGCAUCCUGGACCAAUAUUGACGCUGAGGAGCGAAAGCCAGGGGAGCAAACGGG
rnacentral:rRNA from 1 species